rnacentral:tRNA from 1 species
CAGAAAAUAGUUUAAAUAAAAAUAUAAACUUUGGAAGUUUAAGAUGAAUAUAACACUUUUCUGA